ensembl:lncRNA
CCCUGAUAGCUCAGUUGGUAAAGAACCCGCCUGUAUUGCAGGAGAACGCAGUUUGAUUCCUGGGUCAGGAAGAUCCCCAGCAGAAGGGAAAAGCUACCCACUUCAGUAUUUUGGCCUGGAGAAUUCAGUCCAUGGAGAAUAUAGUCCACGGACUACGCAGCCCAUGGGUUCACAAAGAGUCGGAUAUGACUGAAUGACGUUUACUUCACUUCACUUCGUCCCAUGGACCGAGGAGCAAGUAGCUGAUAGGAAGCCGAGAUUCACCUCCUACAGAGAAGCAGCUCAUCAUCCAGCCGGACCCUUGACCACAUUACUGGCCACCCUGUCUGCAGGGCUCUUAAGAACUAUCAUUGUACAGUGCCUCCCACUACGGAAACCCCAGCAGAUGUAAGGGAGCUGGAGACACAGUCUGAGAGAUCAACUUCUAGGGGCAUGGAGCAAAGGGUGGAAAUGGAAAUAUCCAGAUGGAAAUGUUCUCCCAAGACAAUCUGACUCACAGCUACCUUGGUACAAGGACACUAUUUCUACAGCUGAGAAGAGAAAGGCAGAGGAAGUGCAAUGAUCUGCUAAGGUCACACGGCUGGAACGCGCAGGAGCAGAUGCUACUGAACAUGGUGGGAAAAGUCGAGAUCAUUUUAAUUUCUUC